CCUGCCACGUCCAGAGCCCUCUUACUUUGUCGUCGAUGUCUGUGAUGUUCAUGCAGUAGAAGACAUCGUAUUUGAAAUAGUUCAUCAGAACCCUCCGGAGAAUGUCAAAUGAGAUGUAGGAUCUGGAACAAAAAAAAAGAGAGAAUUUCAGCACAAGAUUACAAAUCAUCUUUCAAAUUAUCUUCCUCCCAAAUGGAAAGAACUCUCUUGAGACGUGUGGUGAAUAUUCUGGUGGACAAAAUGGCUGCCCUGCAUCACCCACGUGGAUACAACACACUGGCUGAGAUGCACGUGCCUGGUUCCACUCAGCAUUCAUCACCUGUUGCAGAUAACUAAUCGGCUCACCCCACCCUAGAAAGAUAGAUAGAUAGAUAAGAUGGAUAAGAU